UCCAUUCACUCCACUCCCAUUUUCAAAUUUUGACAAAGAAGGUUUUAUAAUUUUAAUCUCAGCUGGAGCCAGGAACUUUUUGUGAAUAGAAUACAUUGAAGUUUGGAGAAACAAUCGAUAUCACCGUACAAUGGAAAGAUAGAGCUUUUUAAUUUAAAAUUUAUUGCAUUUCUAAUUUAAGUAUGUGCGGUUUAUUAUAUAUCAAUAAAUCUGUAAAGUUUUUUUAUUAAUGUAAGAUAGAAAUUACUGCAUUUCUGGAGAUGGAGGUGAACCAAGUAAUGUGCCAUUUCUAGCCGUGAUCAAACUGGUUGACUGUAUUUGUUGUUUGCGGAGAGUGGUUGGAGAGGAGAUAGAUGCUGAUCAAACUUAAAUAUCUUGCAGUAACUAUAAAGAUAUUGUCCAACGUUAUUCCAGCUUGCUUUGAUUUGGGCAAGAAAAGUCUCCAUACCUGUGAUGCAGCCUGAAAAGUCUUUCUAGAUCAGAAAUUCUCUGGGCAGUCUUUGCAAGAGCACA